CGAAAAAGCCCCUGAUAUUUUGUGUAUUCAACCGGCACUCCUGAUUUGAGUGGAAAAACGAUUCAGUUUUACAGCCCCCCUCCCCAUCGACACCCAUCCGUUGCACCGUCGCUUGCCGUUGGCGUGGACAGGAGCAAUGAAUGGGCGCAGGAGCUAAGGAAGUGGUGAGGCCGCGCGGACGAGGCGGCUGCUCUGGUGUGGAUCCGAUGAGGGGGCGGACCGAUCGAGGCGGAGGAGCACACUCCGGUUGGUGGUCCGGGCGGUGGAUCCGAAUCCCCUGUUGAGUAGGCUCUGCAUCAUCGCGGUUGUGUUCGCCUGCAAGACCUAUGAUCUCCGCCGGAUUUCACAGGCAAUUUAUUCCUCACAUAUGAAAUGCCGGCGACGGGCGAGGAGGCGAUGGGACGGUGUCUGCCCGGUGACGGCGCUUGGAGGGGACGGGCCGGAGACGGACUGGCGACAACGCGCUGAUGCGGAGAGGCCCGGGCGUGACGGGCAUGCCGAUGUGGCGACGGGGAUGGGGAUGGCCGGGGGGCGGCGCGGGAGGCUAGCGGGCAGGGGCGACGCGACGACGGGAUGGCCGUGCCGGAGCACGGCGAGGCCGGGGACGCAACAAGGGAAAGGGGAGGCCGGCAGGCUUCACGCGGUGGUGCGUUGCCGUGGCGUUGGUGUCCGAUUCAAAGUACAAACCGUGUCCGUCCUGGAUUGCUGCUAGAUGCUAUAAGAAGGACACCACCUCGGCUGAAAUCUGCAUCAGGUAAUUUGCCAUUGCCACGAAACUAUCUCUAUCGGGUAAAUACAUCCAAGGUCGGUUCCGAGUUCGUCGGAGAAAGAAGCGUCGACUUCGCCGGAGGUAGAAGAUCAUCCGCGGAGCACUCCAAUGCCACCUGCUUCGGCUACACGAGAGGUAUGUAUCACACCAACCGUGAGCCUGCCGGGUAUGUUCGUCACAUGUUUACUGCCUGCAAUAUGUUCGUCACAUGCUUCAGGAUGGUAGUGAAGCAUCUCCUGCCACAUCAUUUCCCUGAUCAUCUCUGAACUGACUCGGUUUAAUACUAUCUAGCUGCUAGGUGAAGUCAGCCCCUCGUUUGCUGUUAGGAUCAGUGCUGUAUCCUGUUAUGAAAGCAUUUUGUUCACUGGAUAAACUCUAUCAUCAGAUCUGGAACA